UCCUUUGACUGCACUUCUUCCCUAGUAACUCUACGUAAUAGUCUACAAACAGCAUGACUAUUACUUCUAGAUCAGUCUUCCAAUUCCCAGAGUCAUCCUUAAGUUGAGUUGUUGCUUGUUGUAGGCUUCGAUAUUUUAUGACAGAGAAGAAAUAUUUGGUGUUAUCGUCUCCAAGUUUUAUUCUUGUAGCUUUGCUCCUCUGUUGAAGAUAAAUUUAUACCUUGUAGGAGGUCUGUCUGAAUUUUUGGUAUUUUUCCUUCUCAUCUUCCUGAUAAUCAACAUUCAUAGGAUCCUGCUGUAAUAGUUGUUGAGCCUUCAACAUAGCUUCCCUAUCCUCUUGACAUUCAGAAACAAUAUUCCUGAAGUCCCGAUUAUUAAGCUCCUUUAAUCCAUAUUUCAUGAUCUUUAGCUUUCUAACUACUUUUAGCAUCUUACAACCUUCUACCUAAGUGUCCCAUGCUUCUCUCACUUUCCCCUUAAAUCUGGGCUGAGUCACUCAUACACUACAAAAUUGAAAUGACUUCCUGUUCUAUGAGUCUGCAUUAGUUAGUGUCACUUUAAUUGGGCAAUGAUCAUUUAUUCUUUAAGGAAGGUACUUUACUACACUGGAACGCAGUGUGCUUAGCCAUACACUGUUAAUAAAGACCCUAUCAAUUUUUUUAAAAAAUCCUCUGAUUAUCACUUUUAUCAUUCCAAGUUUAUCUUUGACCCUGGUAAGACAUUUCUAUGAAACCACAUGUUGCAAUACAAUUCUGAAAAAUCUUCUAUUUCUGACCACACCACAGGGUAGCCCCCAAUCCUGUCUUCAGUUGUUAGUACUGAGUUGAAAUCGCCUAGGAUGAUCCAAGGUAAUUGACAAACCACAUUGUAAGCCAUAAGAGAUUCCCAUAACUCUUUUCUGCCUUCCUUUGUAUUAUAGGCAUAAGCCAUUGUCAUGAUAAAUGAAUGUUGCAGAGGAACACUUCUCUCUUCACAAGUAAUCAACUGAGAUGUUGACUCUUUUGGUGUAACUGUAUAAUAAUCCGGCCUCCAAGUUAUCCAAAUCCUACCAUUGUAAUGAGAAGCAAGAUUGGUAAUGAAUGGUCAGCCACCAAACAUCUUCUAAGCUAUCAAAUCGAUCUUCGCUACUUUUAUUUUUGUUUCCAGUAACCCUACUAGCCCAAUUUUUUCAUUAUUACAAAAUAGUUUCACCUCCUUUUGCUUAUUAGGUCCAUUGAGCCCUCUCACAUUCUGACAAAGACAACUAUACAUUCCCAAUAUUGGGAUUAGGAUGGCCUCCCACUGUUUCUUCACUGUUACUGGUAGCCUUCUUAUUCUUACCCUCUUUGUUCAGUACCUGAAAAGUGUCUUUACUCUCUACAUGUAGUUGUUGCUUAGCUUGAGACUUCAGUGUUUUUGGAGGUGUGACCCAGACAGUGGUUGCACCCUGCUUCUAAGACUUGUCUGAUCUGCCCGACUUGUGAGGAUCCAACACAAUUGUUGGAGGUGAGUUAGUUUGGAGUUGUUGAGCAAAAAACCAUUAGAAUGGUGGAGAGCUAUUCAGAUAUAAUUGUUUUGAGACACUUUCAAAGUGGUAUUCUAACAAAGAAGCAAUCAUACUAGUGACAUGUUCAACUUCAACCCACAUGAUUAAAGCAGUUUUUCCACUAAUAAGGACAUGUGAAAUCGAUUAGUAAGUUUAGAUAUUGUUGAAAAUAUCAUUUUCAUUGUUCGAAAGUUGUUUAACAUACGGUUGGCUUUUGUUGAUCUAAAUUUUUAUUUUUCUGCUUAUCCUCUUCUAUAUGUUGUUUUACACAUCUUCUGAUUGAGUUAAUAAUACAUGCUUUGCUUCCAUAGAAGAUGAGAAAUUGCAAAAUUCCUUUAUGAAAUGUUUGCUAAGUUUCUGUCACCUAAUUCAGAUUCCACUGGAUUAAUUUUUGACCCAAGAUUAUGCAUAUGUUUGGUCUACCGUUGAAAAGGAAAAACCUCGAAUGAUACCGGUAUUUUUUUAAGAAUACAAAGUUGCGAUAAAGACUGAAAUUUUGAUGGCAUUAAUUUCGAUAUGGAUCACCGUUGAGAACUUUUUCUGAGGGAGAAAUUCUAUCUGAGUCAAUUACAGACUAGCAACUAAUUGUUGUGCAUUAUAUAAUUGCAUAUUUCUUGGAUGGCAGGCUGGGGAUAUUCUUGAAAGCAUGAGAAGAAAGAAUAUGCAUCAAUCAUCCAUGGGAAUGUAUACUUACGAGGAGACAAUGGUCAUCACCACAUCUAUUUGUUAGGACAUAAAAAGAACAUGUCUAAGUAAGAAGGCUGUGAUUUCCAACUCGUAUAGCCGUCUACUAGUUCCUUGAGAUGAAGCAUGACUUGUUGUAACACACAGAAUCAAUGAGAACAGAUCACAAAUAAGGAAGGAAGCACAAGAGAUUGAAUUCAUCCAAAGGAGAAAUUCAAGGACAAUUGAUUUACUCUCCUGUAAUCAAGCGACGUAAUCAAAUCAACAAAACCAACAUCAAUGGAAGACAACUCAGAGAAUCUUCAAGACCAAGAUUGAUAGGCAAAAUCAAAUCAGAGAAUCUUCAAAACCAAGCUACUGGACAAAGUUUCACAAAUCAAGGAAUCUGGAAAGGAAGGCAAAUCUUGUCAAGAAGAAAGAAGAUCGUGAACAUAUAUGAUAUGGACUUGAUCACAAUCUACCCUAAAUCAGACUCAAUCAAGGAAUUCACUACAAAUCCUUGAUUGAAUGAAAUACCCAUGGGUUUUCCUUAAAAGAGCAAAGAGCUAGAUUAUACAAACCAGCCUUAGGAUUAGAGGAAGUCCACGCACUUCACUUAAACUAUUGUACUAUCUUUCUUUCAUCUUUCAUAAAACAUUUGUACUCUGUGUAUGAAACUAUGAUUUUGGAUUUGCUGGAUGACUUGUUUAUCAAAUUGGACAGAUAAAAAGG